rnacentral:lncRNA from 1 species
AAGUUCCCGUUGUGGCUCAGCGGGUCAAGGACCUGACAUAUUAUCCAAGAGGAUGCAGUUUGAUCCCUGGCCUUGCUCAGUGGGUUAAGAAUCUGGCAUUGCCAUCAGCUGUGGUGUAGGUCACAGAUGCGGCUCAGAUCCCCGCCUCUCCCUUCUGGGAAUGACGCCCCCUCCUCUGAAGAACCUUCUCUUCCCUCUUAGAACCCAAGCAGGUGCCCACUGCCCUGGCCACAGCUGGAUGUAACAAAGUGGACAAGUGACCGACUGUGACCUGGCCUGGUGGUGCUCCUCCCUGGGACGUUUGACAGCCGGAGCUGGAGAAAGGGGUUUCUUUCUCUGGUGGCUGAAGCGAGGGGCAGCCAUGCUUCCUGCCAAGCAGAGGGAGCCGGUCUGAAGAAAGGAAGGAACGAGCAGAGGGGAGAGAGGCAGUCCUGGUUGCUGUCAAGGCCCAGACUCAGGUGGCCCCGAGGCCCAGCUGUCCUUCUGAGUUUUAUGAACAUUCCAAGAACAUUUCAUUUUCGUCUUACCUCGUUUAGGUUGAGGUUCUAUCACAUGCAACAAUGACAGCAAAACCCCAUGGCCAGUGCAGUUAUUCUCCAUGAAGUAGAUACCAGAUACUUGAGGAGUGACAGGGCCACGUGGGUCUUGGAGCCCAGGCAUCCAGCCCUAAGGCGAAGAUUGUCCAGCACUGCCUGGGAACCACAGCCGGGGGCCCUGGCUCUGGUGUGGCUUCUGCUCUGAAGUGCCCUUGCAAACCCUGUGCCCAUCGGCGCCUUAGGAUAACCUCCCUCCAUCUCGCCUUGUUGGGCCAGAGGGCUCUGAAUUGCGGCGCCCAUCAAGGCACAACUUUGACAUUCAGAUGACUUUGGCCAGCCUUGACCUUAAGUUUUUCAGUUCUCAAUCUUCUAACUGUAGAGUGAAGAUAAUACGUGCCUUUUAGGGUGGCUGUGAGGAUGACACGAGCUUAGGCAUGAAGUGUACUGAACAGGGGGCUGGGUGUAGCCAGCAUCUUGGAGUUGGCAAAGUCAGUCCCUGUUCAGUGAAAUAAAUAAUACAGUGAUGAGAGUUUGGCCAUUUACUUGAGAGUUGGUUCUUUUUUUUCUUUUUUUUAGGCCACAUCCGCUGCAUGCAGAAGAUCCCCAGGCCAGGGAUCGAACUUGCACCACAGCUAGACGCCAGAUCCUUAAGUUGUUGAGCCACCAGGGAACUCUGCAAGUUGAUUCUUUUUUUUUUUUUUUUUUUUUUUUUUUGUCUUUUGUCUUUUUUGUUGUUGUUGCUAUUUCUUUGUCUUUUGUCUUUUUUGUUGUUGUUGCUAUUUCUCCUGCGGCAUAUGGAGGUUCCCAGGCUAGGGGUCUAAUCAGAGCUGUAGCCACCGGCCUACGCCAGAGCCACAGCAACGCGGGAUCCGAGCCGCGUCUGCAACCUACACCACAGCUCACAGCAACGCCGGAUCAUUAACCCACUGAGCAAGGGCAGGGACCGAACCCGCAACCUCAUGGUCCCUAGUCGGAUUCGUUAACCACUGCGCUACCACGGGAACUCCUGCAAGUUGAUUCUUUAUGUUUCUACCACAAUCACAUUUCUUAACAUUUGAGGAGGGAUCUGAGGUGGUGGUGGGAGGAAAUUGAAGAGUCGGAGGAACCAGAUAGAAGAGGGAACUUCCGAGAUUCUUUCUGGGCCAGAGACUUUUCUGGAACCAGGUCAAAUGCCUUAAGUAAGUGAUCUCAUGGCCCUGAUGUUAAAUGGACCCAGAUCUACAAAAUAAGGGUGUGUCUUUCUAUUUGUUCAGGCUGUCGUUUUAUCUUACUCUCAGGAUAAGACAUGAAUGUGGUAUAGUCUUAAAAAGAACAUGUUUUUUUUUUUUUUUUUUUUUUUGAGGGGGCUACACCUGCAGCAUAUGGAAGUUCCCAGGCCAGGGAUCAAACUUUUGCCUUAGUAAUGACCUGAGCUGCUGCAGAGACAAUGCUGGGUUCUUAACCCACUGCACCAAAGUGGGAACUCCUUGAUUUCUUUUUUAUUUGCCAGUUGAUCUAGCUGAGAAAAUACAGAGAAAAUGCUCUUAGAAUUAUAACAUUACACCCAAAUUGCAGACUUUAUGGGUUGUUAUUAUGGAUGAAUAUCUUUAUGUUGACCAAAUGUAGAAGACAACAAAACAAUCCCUUUGAAAUAACUAACCAACCCUACCAAAUACAAAAUUUCUAUCUCGCAUUAAAAAUGCAUUUUCUUUUAUAAAAACAAAUUUUGGCAAGGGAGGAGAAAGGAAAUAAGUUGGUCUUAAUGCUGUAAAUAUUUAUUUUUAAACAGAGAAUGACUUAAAAUUGUGACUAGGCAUAAAUUACUGUGUAUCCUCCAAUG